CCUACGGGGAGCAGCAGUGAGGAAUAUUGGUCAAUGGGCGAGAGCCUGAACCAGCCAAGUCGCGUGAGGGAGUACUGCCCUAUGGGUUGUAAACCUCUUUUGUCGGGGAGCAAAAGCCGGACGUGUCCGGCUGUGAGAGUACCCGAAGAAAAAGCAUCGGCUAACUCCGUGCCAGCAGCCGCGGUAAUACGGAGGAUGCGAGCGUUAUCCGGAUUUAUUGGGUUUAAAGGGUGCGCAGGCGGGUUUUUAAGUCAGCGGUAAAAUCGUGGGGCUCAACCCCAUCCAGCCGUUGAAACUGGGGAUCUAGAGUGUGCGAGAGGUAUGCGGAAUGCGUGGGGUAGCGGUGAAAUGCAUAGAUAUCACGCAGAACCCCGAUUGCGAAGGCAGCAUACCGGUGCACAACUGACGCUCAGGCACGAAAGCGUGGGUAUCGAACAGGAUUAGAUACCCUAGUAGUC
rnacentral:rRNA from 1 species